UCCCCGAUAGCUCAACGGUAGAGCAGCCGGCUGUUAACCGGCUUGUUGUAGGUUCGAAUCCUACUCGGGGAG
rnacentral:tRNA from 1 species